rnacentral:rRNA from 1 species
GAUGAACGCUGGCGGCGUGCCUAAUACAUGCAAGUAGAACGCUGAAGGAAGGAGCUUGCUCUUUCUGGAUGAGUUGCGAACGGGUGAGUAACGCGUAGGUAACCUGCCUGGUAGCGGGGGAUAACUAUUGGAAACGAUAGCUAAUACCGCAUAACAGUAGAUGUUGCAUGAUAUCUGCUUGAAAGGGGCAAUUGCUCCACUACCAGAUGGACCUGCGUUGUAUUAGCUAGUUGGUGAGGUAACGGCUCACCAAGGCGACGAUACAUAGCCGACCUGAGAGGGUGAUCGGCCACACUGGGACUGAGACACGGCCCAGACUCCUACGGGAGGCAGCAGUAGGGAAUCUUCGGCAAUGGACGGAAGUCUGACCGAGCAACGCCGCGUGAGUGAAGAAGGUUUUCGGAUCGUAAAGCUCUGUUGUAAGAGAAGAACGAGUGUGAGAGUGGAAAGUUCACACUGUGACGGUAUCUUACCAGAAAGGGACGGCUAACUACGUGCCAGCAGCCGCGGUAAUACGUAGGUCCCGAGCGUUAUCCGGAUUUAUUGGGCGUAAAGCGAGCGCAGGCGGUUAGAUAAGUCUGAAGUUAAAGGCUAUGGCUUAACCAUAGUACGCUUUGGAAACUGUUUAACUUGAGUGCAGAAGGGGAGAGUGGAAUUCCAUGUGUAGCGGUGAAAUGCGUAGAUAUAUGGAGGAACACCGGUGGCGAAAGCGUGCUCUCUGGUCUGUUACUGACGCUGAGGCUCGAAAGCGUGGGGAGCAAACAGGAUUAUAUACCCUUGUAGUCCAGGGGCGAUGUUCCACAGUGGAUAUCAAGCUUAUCUAUACCGUCGACCUCGAGAGGGGGGCACAAGUAAACAAACUUUUGUUCCCUUUUGUGAGACUUAUUAUUGGCUUUUCAUAGUUUCUGUUGUGCUGUUGCACAUUGUGUGCUCCUGUGUCUGCUUGUCUUCCCUUUCCUGUUUUGUAUGCUAGCCUGGUGCUUUGUGUGUGGUUGCUGCUGUGAUUGCUUUUCUCUUUGUUCUGUUGCUUAUCGUGCUUUUGCCUGUAGCCCUGUUGCGUAUGCUGCUGUGUUGCAUGUGUGUGCUGCAUUGUACUGUUGCCUUGCUGUGUUGUGGUUGUCCUGUGCCCUGUCUGUGUGUGCUGCUGUUUUAU